UGGGGAAUUUUGGUCAAUGGGCGCAAGCCUGAACCAGCAACGCCGCGUGGGUGAUGAAGGCCUUCGGGUUGUAAAGCCCUGUCGGGAGGGACGAAUGAACGGCGUAACGAACCGGAAUGACGGUACCUCCAAAGGAAGCACCGGCUAACUCUGUGCCAGCAGCCGCGGUAAUACAGAGGGUGCAAGCGUUGUUCGGAAUUACUGGGCGUAAAGCGCGUGUAGGCGGUCUGCCAAGUCUGAUGUGAAAGCCCCGGGCUCAACCCGGGAAGUGCGUCAGAUACUGGUGGACUGGAGUGACGGAGAGGAUGGCGGAAUACCCGGUGUAGAGGUGAAAUUCGUAGAUAUCGGGUGGAACACCUGUGGCGAAGGCGGCCAUCUGGACGUUCACUGACGCUGAGAC
rnacentral:rRNA from 1 species